rnacentral:rRNA from 1 species
UCGCCUGUUUAUCAAAAACAUAGCCUUUAGCAAACAAAGUAUUAAAGGUGCCGCCUGCCCAGUGACCUAGUUCAACGGCCGCGGGAUCCUCCACCGUGCAAAGGUAGCAUAAUCACUUGUCUCCUAAAUAGAGACCAGUAUGAACGGCCUAAUGAAGAUUUACCUGUCUCUUGUAGCCUAUCUAUUAAACUGAUCUUUCAGUACAAAAGCUGAAAUUAAAACACAAGACGAAAAGACCCUGUGGAACUUUAAGCCAAGAAUCAACUCAAAUGGUUUAACGGCCUUUAGUUGGGGCAACUUUGGAAAAAAACUAAACUUCCAACAUAUACUAAGACAGACAUGUCUAAGCCCACCACCCCUAGACCCAGUCAUACUGAUCAAAGAAACAAGCUACCCCAGGGAUAACAGCGCCAUCCCCUCUUAGAGCCCCAAUCGACGAGCGGGGUUUACGACCUCGAUGUUGGAUCAGGGCACCCAAGCAGUGCAGCAGCUGCUAAAGGUUUGUUUGUUCAACAAUUAAUGCCCUACGUGAUCUGAGUUCAGACCGG